CCUAGAAAAGCCGGCAGUAUCACGAAGCAAGACCCGUACCAAAACUGACACAGGUGGGCGAGGCGAAUAGCCUCAGGCGCUCGAGAGAAUGGUCGUGAAGGAACUAGGCAAAUUAACUCCGUACGUUCGCAAGAAGGAGGCCCUUCGGGGCGCAGAGAAAAGGUCCUGGCAACUGUUUAUCAAAAACACAGCACUGUGCUAAGUCGCAAGACGCCGUAUACAGUGUGACGCUUGCCCAAUGCUCGAAUGUCACGGAAGUGGGUUCACGCUCACAACCUAAGCACGAGUCAAUGGCGGCCGUAACUAUGACGGUCCUAAGGUAGCGAA
rnacentral:rRNA from 1 species